CAAAGCCCAAAUCUCUGAAUAGUCUGACUAGCUGGGGCCACAAGGAUAUCUUAACCAGGGAAAGAAAUCAGUGGCCAGACAGGUUUAUUGCAGCUCAGAAGUUCUUGAACUGAUGCUGGUAGCAGCAGCUUUGCUGGGCUGUUGAGCUUUGAGCAGGAGGGUCCCAGCCUGGCUGGUUAGUGGGAUGAAGUGCUGGGAUAAAAGGGUCAGCAGGUGAGAGGAGCCUGCAGGAGAAGGGCUGAUGAGAAGUGUGUGAGGUUUACAGCAGUGGAGGGACCCAGCUAUGACCAAAAUCCCUGCAGAAAGAGGAAGGCUUCACCCUGGAAGGCUGCAGUGCAAACCGAGUUUGCAGUGAGGAGACAACCCACAAACCUUUCUCCUGCACAACCAGCAUCCAGUGCAUCCUUCCAACCUGCCAACAUUUACCUCAGGUAUUGCUUUGCCUGCCCCGCUCUGCCCCCCAGUCCUGAGAUGGAGAGAUGGAAGCUUCACUGGGGGUGUUAUCAGCAACCUGGCAUGCUCUGAGUGGUGGAUGAUAACAAGGUGAUGACCUUCCAGUGAUAAGAGUUGCAAAGAAAAAAACCAAGGGGCAAAGAAGGUAAUUUACACUUGCAAGGACAAAAUGUACAAAUCACAUCAGAGAUAAAGAAAUGCUCAGGUUUAUGAUGAUGCUGUUGUAUGUGAUGUUAUCACAAGAUACUGUAGCUACUUUAUCUUGUAUCUAAUAUACAGACUAGGUGGGACAAUUUAAAAAAAAUCCAAAUCAAGAGAGCUUGUGGGAAUUAAUUUUGCUGUGGGUUCUCUUGAAUGAAAACAGUAAGGGCUAAAUCAGAGUACUGAACCCUCUGUAUCCUGUUGGCAGCUGGUGCCUUCCUGGUGGUGGUUUUUUCCUUCUUGGUUGUUGAUGCAGGAGCAGUGAAUUUCAAGCAGCUAUUAGCAAUAAAUGCUUUGCAAGUGUGCAGCUCUACAAAUGCCUGUUUAUAAUUUCAGUAAGUGUAAGAGCUGCACACUGAUAGAAUAAUGUUUUGGUUCUAGAAUAAUGGCUUGUUAAUCUGUGGAGUGAAUAGGAGUGGAGAAAAGAAAUGAGCAAUGAGUUUGGUUCCUGAAGCAAUAUUUCAUUAACUGGGGGAAAUCCUAACCCUGCAUAGCUGCAAAGUUUGCCAGUGCAAGCAAAUAAUUACUUUGCUUUCUACCAAAUAUAUUUUGAUUUUCAAUAAUUACAGAAAACACAGAAAUGUUUCUUCUAGGAAUUGGUUUUUUUCCCAUUGCUGUAUUCGUUGAAAAUAUUUACUAAUGGCUAAAUAUAAUGAAUAUUACUUUU